UGAAGUUGCACAGCAAGUCCCAGA
rnacentral:siRNA from 1 species